rnacentral:lncRNA from 1 species
CAGUCCCUGUGUUGACACAGGGGUGGGAAGGAGGAUUACCAAAUGGAUUACCAUUAGUGACUACACCCCAAAACGCAUCUUUUCUGGCAACUGCUUCUCUUUCCUGGUUCUAGGAUCUUCUUCUCAUCUCUUACUAUAUGAUGAUUCUUCCUCAACCCUGCCACCGGUCACCUGCAUUCCUUCAUCCUUUGUGGUUGAACAAGGAGCUUUAAAUGCAAUGCCUACUCCCAUAAAGGUUGGGAUCCUUCAGCUAGGCAAAGUCAAAGAAAUUUCCUGGCAGGUGGUUUCAAUAGCCAGUAGAACCCUGACAGAGAUGACAGAGUGCUUGGAUGGGGAGAGCCAGUGCUAUUUUGCAGAAGCCAAAGAAAGGGAGAACAAAGGGAGACCUACACCUUCUGAAUUACAGGAUCCUGAUUCUGAGUCAAGUAUCAGGAAAAGCUGACCGUUUAAGGAAAUAAAGGCACUUUUAAAAGAUUUUUUAAUCAGUCCUUCAGCAUACCUCCAUCUUGCCAGUCACCUAAAAAUAUACAGCUUGGAGACUUUGGAGCAUUUUGUAUUCUUUUAUUUCUAA